rnacentral:rRNA from 1 species
GCGUCCGAUUAGCUAGUUGGUAGGGUAAAGGCCUACCAAGGCGAUGAUCGGUAACUGGUCUGAGAGGACGACCAGUCACACUGGGACUGAGACACGGCCCAGACUCCUACGGGAGGCAGCAGUGGGGAAUCUUGGACAAUGGGGGCAACCCUGAUCCAGCGAUGCCGCGUGAGUGAAGAAGGCCCUCGGGUCGUAAAGCUCUUUAGGUUGGGAAGAAG